rnacentral:rRNA from 1 species
GGGUUGUGAGGUUAAGCGACUAAGCGUACACGGUGGAUGCCCUGGCAGUCAGAGGCGAUGAAGGGCGUACUAAUCUGCGAUAAGCGCCGGUAAGGUGAUAUGAACCGUUAUAACCGGCGAUACCCGAAUGGGGAAACCCAGUGUGAUUCGUCACACUAUCAUUAACUGAAUCCAUAGGUUAAUGAGGCGAACCGGGGGAACUGAAACAUCUAAGUACCCCGAGGAAAAGAAAUCAACCGAGAUUCCCCCAGUAGCGGCGAGCGAACGGGGAGGAGCCCAGAGCCUGAAUCAGCAUGUGUGUUAGUGGAAGCGUCUGGAAAGGCGCGCGAUACAGGGUGACAGCCCCGUACACAAAAGCGCAUGUGCUGUGAGCUCGAUGAGUAGGGCGGGACACGUGGUAUCCUGUCUGAAUAUGGGGGGACCAUCCUCCAAGGCUAAAUACUCCUGACUGACCGAUAGUGAACCAGUACCGUGAGGGAAAGGCGAAAAGAACCCCGGCGAGGGGAGUGAAAAAGAACCUGAAACCGUGUACGUACAAGCAGUGGGAGNNNNNNNNNNNNNNNNNNNCUGCGUACCUUUUGUAUAAUGGGUCAGCGACUUAUAUUCUGUAGCAAGGUUAACCGAAUAGGGGAGCCGGAGGGAAACCGAGUCUUAAUUGGGCGUUAAGUUGCAGGGUAUAGACCCGAAACCCGGUGAUCUAGCCAUGGGCAGGUUGAAGGUUGGGUAACACUAACUGGAGGACCGAACCGACUAAUGUUGAAAAAUUAGCGGAUGACCUGUGGCUGGGGGUGAAAGGCCAAUCAAACCGGGAGAUAGCUGGUUCUCCCCGAAAGCUAUUUAGGUAGCGCCUCGUGAAUUCAUCUCCGGGGGUAGAGCACUGUUUCGGCUAGGGGGCCAUCCCGGCUUACCAACCCGAUGCAAACUGCGAAUACCGGAGAAUGUUAUCACGGGAGACACACGGCGGGUGCUAACGUCCGUCGUGAAGAGGGAAACAACCCAGACCGCCAGCUAAGGUCCCAAAGUCAUGGUUAAGUGGGAAACGAUGUGGGAAGGCCCAGACAGCCAGGAUGUUGGCUUAGAAGCAGCCAUCAUUUAAAGAAAGCGUAAUAGCUCACUGGUCGAGUCGGCCUGCGCGGAAGAUGUAACGGGGCUAAACCAUGCACCGAAGCUGCGGCAGCGACACUGUGUGUUGUUGGGUAGGGGAGCGUUCUGUAAGCCUGCGAAGGUGGCCUGUGAGGGUUGCUGGAGGUAUCAGAAGUGCGAAUGCUGACAUAAGUAACGAUAAAGCGGGUGAAAAGCCCGCUCGCCGGAAGACCAAGGGUUCCUGUCCAACGUUAAUCGGGGCAGGGUGAGUCGACCCCUAAGGCGAGGCCGAAAGGCGUAGUCGAUGGGAAACGGGUUAAUAUUCCCGUACUUGGUGUUACUGCGAAGGGGGGACGGAGAAGGCUAUGUUGGCCGGGCGACGGUUGUCCCGGUUUAAGCGUGUAGGUGUGUGUUCCAGGUAAAUCCGGUUCACUUUAACACUGAGGCGUGACGACGAGGCACUACGGUGCUGAAGCAACAAAUGCCCUGCUUCCAGGAAAAGCCUCUAAGCAUCAGGUAACAUCAAAUCGUACCCCAAACCGACACAGGUGGUCAGGUAGAGAAUACCAAGGCGCUUGAGAGAACUCGGGUGAAGGAACUAGGCAAAAUGGUGCCGUAACUUCGGGAGAAGGCACGCUGACACGUAGGUGAAGUGAUUUACUCAUGGAGCUGAAGUCAGUCGAAGAUACCAGCUGGCUGCAACUGUUUAUUAAAAACACAGCACUGUGCAAACACGAAAGUGGACGUAUACGGUGUGACGCCUGCCCGGUGCCGGAAGGUUAAUUGAUGGGGUCAGCGCAAGCGAAGCUCCUGAUCGAAGCCCCGGUAAACGGCGGCCGUAACUAUAACGGUCCUAAGGUAGCGAAAUUCCUUGUCGGGUAAGUUCCGACCUGCACGAAUGGCGUAAUGAUGGCCAGGCUGUCUCCACCCGAGACUCAGUGAAAUUGAACUCGCUGUGAAGAUGCAGUGUACCCGCGGCAAGACGGAAAGACCCCGUGAACCUUUACUAUAGCUUGACACUGAACAUUGAGCCUUGAUGUGUAGGAUAGGUGGGAGGCUUUGAAGUGUGGACGCCAGUCUGCAUGGAGCCGACCUUGAAAUACCACCCUUUAAUGUUUGAUGUUCUAACGUGGACCCGUUACCCGGGUUGCGGACAGUGUCUGGUGGGUAGUUUGACUGGGGCGGUCUCCUCCUAAAGAGUAACGGAGGAGCACGAAGGUUGGCUAAUCCUGGUCGGACAUCAGGAGGUUAGUGCAAUGGCAUAAGCCAGCUUGACUGCGAGCGUGACGGCGCGAGCAGGUGCGAAAGCAGGUCAUAGUGAUCCGGUGGUUCUGAAUGGAAGGGCCAUCGCUCAACGGAUAAAAGGUACUCCGGGGAUAACAGGCUGAUACCGCCCAAGAGUUCAUAUCGACGGCGGUGUUUGGCACCUCGAUGUCGGCUCAUCACAUCCUGGGGCUGAAGUAGGUCCCAAGGGUAUGGCUGUUCGCCAUUUAAAGUGGUACGCGAGCUGGGUUUAGAACGUCGUGAGACAGUUCGGUCCCUAUCUGCCGUGGGCGCUGGAGAACUGAGGGGGGCUGCUCCUAGUACGAGAGGACCGGAGUGGACGCAUCACUGGUGUUCGGGUUGUCAUGCCAAUGGCACUGCCCGGUAGCUAAAUGCGGAAGAGAUAAGUGCUGAAAGCAUCUAAGCACGAAACUUGCCCCGAGAUGAGUUCUCCCUGAGACUUAAAGUCUCCUGAAGGAACGUUGAAGACGACGACGUUGAUAGGCCGGGUGUGUAAGCGCAGCGAUGCGUUGAGCUAACCGGUACUAAUGAACCGUGAGGCUUAACCUUACAACGCCGAAG